rnacentral:rRNA from 1 species
UACGAAGGGGGCUAGCGUUGCUCGGAUUGACUGGGCGUAAAGGGCGCGUAGGCGGUUUGCAUAGUCAGACGUGAAAUUCCUGGGCUUAACCUGGGGGCUGCGUUUGAUACAUGCAGGCUUGAGUUCGGAAGAGGGUCGUGGAAUUCCCAGUGUAGAGGUGAAAUUCGUAGAUAUUGGGAAGAACACCGGUGGCGAAGGCGGCAUCCUGGACCGACAUUGACGCUGUUGAGCGAAAGCUAGGGGAGCAAACGGG